GAUGACCAGAUUAUUAUAAUCUCAUAAUCUGCUCUACCCCAGCUAAAAUGAGAUUAUGGAUUACAAAUGACGUGUUACCCUUGUAAACUUCAAGAGAAUUACGCAGUGCCACCGCCACUUUCCUUUUUUUCCUUGUAAACAGAGGGCAAACAUGUCAUUGUACAAUUUAAAAGCUGGUCUACAGUUUAUAUAAUCUGGCCUCCAAACAUG
rnacentral:lncRNA from 1 species